CAGCAACCAGCAGCAGCAACCAGCUGGGUUCCCCUUCCACCCCCUUGGAAGCUUUGUUCUUUUGCUCUUCACAACAAAUCUUGCUGCUGCUCACUCAUUGGGUCCCUACUACCUUUAUGAGCUGUAACACUCACCACGAGGGUCUGCGGCUUCAUUCCUGAAGUCAGCGAGACCACGAACCCACCAGGAGGAACAAACAACUCCGGACGUGCCACCUUUAAGAGCUGUAACACUCACUGCAAAGGUCUGUGGCUUCACUCCUGAAGUCGGCAAGACCAGGAACCCACCGGAAGGAAGAAACUCCAGACACAUUUGAACAUCUGAAGGAACAAACUCCCGACACACCAUCUUUAAGAACUGUAACGUGAGGGUCUGUGGCUUCAUUCUUAAAGUCAGUGAGACCAAGAACCCACCGGAAGGAACCAAUUCUGGACACGAUAUGACUACAAAAUGUUAGAAGGAGCAGUCCAGAAAAGGAAACAGCAUGUGCAAAAGCUCAACUGUGGGAAGGAACUCAGUGCAUUCAAGGAAGAAAAAGUAGACCAGUGAGUCUCAAAUAGAGUGAAUUCAGGGAAGAAGUGCAAGAAAUGAAGAUGGAGAGUCAAGACAGAUCCAGGUGGUGCAGGGCCUUGUAGGUAACCCUUCUGAGGAAAUUAGCAGCUUUGACAAUGGAAAGUACUGUUUCAUCUGUCUUCCCUAUGAGAAGAGAAAAAAUAUACCAGCCUCCUCUGGAAGCAGCGAGGGAAAAUUUAAGAAGUU
rnacentral:lncRNA from 1 species